rnacentral:rRNA from 1 species
CCUACGGGAGGCAGCAGUGGGGAAUAUUGGGCAAUGGGCGCAAGCCUGACCCAGCAACGCCGCGUGAAGGACGAAGGCUUUCGGGUUGUAAACUUCUUUUCUCAGGGACGACGAAAGUGACGGUACCUGAGGUAUAAGCCACGGCUAACUACGUGCCCGCAGCCGCGGGAAUACGUAGGUGGCAAGCGUUAUACGGAUUUACUGGGUGUAAAGGGCGUGUAGGCGGGACUGCAAGUCAGAUGUGAAAACCACGGGCUCAACCUGUGGCCUGCAUUUGAUACUGUAGUUCGUGAGUACUGGAGAGGCAGACGGAAUUCCAAGUGUAGCGGUGAAAUGCGUAGAUAUUAGGAGGAACACCAGUGGCGAAGGCGGUCUGCGGGACAGCAACUGACGCUGAGGCGCGAAAGCGUGGGGAGCAAACAGGAUGAGAUACCCUGGUAGUC